rnacentral:lncRNA from 1 species
ACCAAAAAGAUGCAUGAUGGAAAUGAUGAACAGUUGCUCUGUUUGCUUACUUUCAAGUACCUAGCUUUUAUAUUAAAGUUUUUCUAGGAAUUACUAAAACUAAAAUUUAAUAUCUACGGGAAGCAUGAACCUAAAACUAAAGUCUAGGUAAGAGAAAGGCAUGAUAUAAAGUUUGAGCUACUGUUUAUCUUGUUUCUACUACACUAAGUUCUAUAGAUUAAUUUUGAAAACUUGCAAAUCACAUGAUAAGUUCCUAGCAUGAUGAAAAAUUCGUACCACAGCCAUACUUGCUAUAACAUCUUUUGCUACUUAUAUUCACAAUGAGUUUGAUCGAGCUGUGUAGGCCCUUUGGAGCUUUUCAUGUGGUUAAAUUAAGAUAUUCACUUGCACAUAUCUACAACACCAUCCACCACCAUUCAUUAAAAUUGCUAAAAAUAUUAUCACUCACUGUCCCAAGUGUUGUUAUUCUCUCUCUCCAAAAAGAUUCAUUGCAGAAGAGGCAUGGGUUAUGCAAAAAUAUGCGAGGAAAUAAAAAGGGGCAAGUGCAAGGAACCUUGAAAAAGAAAGAAAAAGAGUGAGACGAGACGUAAAAAUGGACAAGUGUCCGGAGUAGAAUUAGGGUUACAAAGAUGCCCACCUGAGCGGAAAAAAUGGACAAGUGUCCGACAGUAGAAUUAGGGGUAUUCGCCACCCACCUGAAAAAAAGAAGAAAAGAGAAAAGAAAAAGAUAGCCCAUGCUCUCCCAAAGCACAGAUCAAAGAGGCGGAUAGAUAGCAAUAUGAGGAGCAAUGAGAAGUAAGUUUCAUCAUUACUACCAUUUUCUCCACCACACAUGCACACCUUGAUUUAAUUACAUGUUGAGUUCCUUUGGAUCCAUGGCUCGAUUAGACAACAUAUGUAUGAGCUGUUUUUCACACCUAUGAGCUCCACAUAAACAUUCCCUUAUUUAUAGGUAAGAGACAUUUUUGGUAAGGAUCCACAAAUACCAUAUAUAGAGAGAUUUGAGAGUAGCAUAGAUGGGAACUCUGAGCUUUAUUUUUGAAAACGUAUGCAAAACUCCAGAACAAAGGUGAAGUAUAGAUAGGAAGAAUAGUGCUUGACUUAAUUAUUUUGUCUUUCGAUUACUUAAGACUUAAGUGCAGGUACUAAGCUCCAUGACACUUCACUCUAGUCUAGGAGAAUUUUUUAUGUGAAAGCAUGUGUGCCUGUCAGGAAAGAAAACAUCGAAGCAACUCCUGAUCCAUCUGUGUUUAGCUGUUUGCUUAGGGACGAGCAAAGGGUAAGCUUGGGGGAGUUUGUUGACGGUCCUUAAGUACUAAAUUUAAC